CGGGAAAAGCUCAAAUUUAAAAUCUGGCAGUCUUUGGCUGUCCGAGUUGUAAUUUAGAGAAGUGUUACCCGUGCUGGACCGUGUACAAGUCCCUUGGAACAGGGCGUCGUAGAGGGUGAGAAUCCCGUCUUUGACACGGACUGCCAGUGCUCUGUGAUGCGCUCUCGAA
rnacentral:rRNA from 1 species